rnacentral:rRNA from 1 species
UACAGAGGUCUCAAGCGUUGUUCGGAUUCAUUGGGCGUAAAGGGUGCGUAGGCGGCGCGGUAAGUCGGGUGUGAAAUCUUGGAGCUUAACUCCGAAACUGCAUUCGAUACUGCCGUGCUUGAGGACUGGAGAGGAGACUGGAAUUUACGGUGUAGCGGUGAAAUGCGUAGAUAUCGUAAGGAAGACCAGUGGCGAAGGCGGGUCUCUGGACAGUUCCUGACGCUGAGGCGCGAAGGCCAGGGGGAGCAAACAGG